rnacentral:rRNA from 1 species
GAUGAACGCUGGCGGCGUGCCUAAUACAUGCAAGUCGAGCGAACGGACGAGAAGCUUGCUCCUCUGACGUUAGCGGCGGACGGGUAAGUAACACGUGGAUAACCUACCUAUAAGACUGGGAUAACUUCGGGAAACCGGAGCUAAUACCGGAUAAUAUAUUGAACCGCAUGGUUCAAAAGUGAAAGACGGUCUUGCUGUCACUUAUAGAUGGAUCCGCGCUGCAUUAGCUAGUUGGUAAGGUAACGGCUUACCAAGGCAACGAUGCAUAGCCGACCUGAGAGGGUGAUCGGCCACACUGGAACUGAGACACGGUCCAGACUCCUACGGGAGGCAGCAGUAGGGAAUCUUCCGCAAUGGGCGAAAGCCUGACGGAGCAACGCCGCGUGAGUGAUGAAGGUCUUCGGAUCGUAAAACUCUGCUAUUAGGGAAGAACAAAUGUGUAAGUAACUGUGCACAUCUUGACGGUACCUAAUCAGAAAGCCACGGCUAACUACGUG